rnacentral:rRNA from 1 species
AUGAACUCAUAAACUAGCAGUCUUUCAGUUCCUUCAUUGCAGAAACCAAUUAGCCGGACCAGAUUCUUGUGGAACGUUUGUCCAAUGGUUUGGACUUCUACCCUAAACUCCUUUUCAGUUUCUUCUUGGAGCUUGUCGAUCUUCUUGACAGCGAUGUGGGUCUAGAGAUCAUCUUGCAACUCACCCUUGUACACAACAUCAGAGGCACCUCUACCGAGGACCUCAUGGAAACCACUGGUUGCUCUCUCCAGCUCAUAG